GUGUACAGUAACUUUUAUUUUGUAUUAAAAUGACGUAAAUAUAUAUUGUUUAAAAUUUCCAACAUAAUAUACGUAUUAUGCUAUUACACACUACCAGAACUAGCCAUCUUCCUCAAUGUGGUCUAUUAAAAGUUGUGUUUUGCAGUUCUGUUGCAUGGUCUAUCGUAUGCCAAUGCCAUGUGGCUAAAAUUGCAAUGCCACCUCGAAUCAGUCGAAUGCCACCCUAAAAAUUAUGUUAAAAUAUUCAAAAAUAUGCAGAAUAACUUACCAGUAACCUCUGAUAAACUUUACUAGUUUCUUUAGACCCUUUGGACUGAUCAAAUGCAACCUGAAUUGCUUCAUUGCACCACAGAUUAAGCAGGGUUUUUGUUGCUUCGUUGCUCCAUACUUUCCCUCUGUUUCUCUUGACGGCGGCCAUUUUGCUUAAUACUAAUUCUCGCGAAAUAUUUCGCGCCACCGAAAAGUGCUGAAAUAGCAAAAUUUCGGGCACGGUGCCGCUUAUUUGGCGGGCCGAGACUACCUCAAGAGAUGGUCUCGGCCCGCCAAAAAUUUUAGGUACGCGUACCGCAAUCGGACAGGCCCGGUGCCGUUUACACGACAAAAAUCAAGAGUGCCGUGCCCACAGAAAUGGGUCCGCGUGCCAAAAUUUAAGCGUGCCGUGCCCAAAAUGACUGUCGUGUAAACGGGGCUUAAACGUGACAAAAAUCGGCACCGGUGCCGCAAAAUUUAAACGUGCCGAGACCUUCUCACGAGGUAGUCUCGGCACGUCUAGCAAGCGGUGCCGUGCCCAAAUGUGUUCGACAUCGAGCAUGCGCAAAACAAAUUGUCCUCUUUCCAACAUGGCAGCAAGCGGUGAAAAACUGCAGCUUGCCAAAAAUAAAAAAAAACAAAGUUAAAAAACAAAUUUAAAUAACACAGAAUGUGAAUGUUGCUCUAGUUGACUCGGAAAUUUUGAUACCACUGUUCGUCGCUGAAUAGAGCAGUAACUAGGUCGUAGCAAAUGGCUGUCCUUCGAUGCGUUCAUACCUCUCGAAUUUGUGGCGGGUGAAUACAAGAUGGCACAACAUUUACGCGAGAAAACAAUUCCUUUCGUCUUUAAGGGCCUGUUCAAGUGUUCAUAUGGGCAAAGGUUAUCCUGGUUAACGAGAAAACAUUUCGACUAGCCAAAUACUUUUGUUCUGUUCGCAUGGAGAAACGUUAUCCCGCUUACCGGGUAAAGUUUCCGGCUGUGGCAUCGCACUGAAUAUCAAUUGAAUUGAAAAGUUGCUGACACGACAGAAAGUUAUCCCGCUAAGCGGUAAAGUUGUGUUCAUGCAUAUGGGAAAAACAUCCCGGUCACCGAGAUCUGGCUUGUCAACAAGCGAGAUCUCGGUACACGGGAAAACUUUUUGUCUCAUAUGAACGCAGUGUAACUUUUCAUAUUAUUUUCAUACCAAGGCAAGAUCUCGUUUGUAAACUUGUCGAAAAGUUUUCUCGCUAAGCGGGAUAACUUUUCCCCAUAUGAGCUGGCCCUUAAAGUACUUUUCUAGUAUUGAAUUGGUUUUUCCCUCGAUUUUCGGCUCAUAUAAUACUCUUCUUCGUUCCAAUAAAUAUAAAUAUAUAAUUCUAUUUCUGUCCGACAUCUUUAUUCUUUAAAAUAUACCGUCGUAAACGGAAAGUAGAGGUGCCGUUUUCCGAUGGGCACGGUGCUUAUCGUAAAAGUGUGUUUACAAAAAGUUGUCGUGUAAACGAGUAAAUAGCGAAAUGGGAGUUUUGGCACGGUGCCCAUUUUCAGGGGUGCCGUGCUCAAAACGCUUGUCGUGUAAACCGGCCUAUAGUGUCAUCAGCAUACAUAACAAAGGAUAUAAUUUUACUACAGUUUUCAAUAUCGUUAAUAUAUAACAGGAAAAGUAGUGGCCCAAGAAUAGAGCCUUGCGGAACUCCUGUAGAUAUAAUCAAUUUGUUUGAUUUAUGAUGACCAAAUUUAACAAUUUGCAUUCUUUCAUGUAGGUAGCUUUCAAACCAUUUUAGGCAAUUUCCUCUUAUGCCAUAAUGUUCAAGUUUUUUUAGGAGAAUAUCGUGGUUAACUGUGUCAAAAGCCUUAGAUAGAUCAAGGAAAAUACCAAUUGUAUAUUUACCAUCAUCUAUAGCUUUUGAAAUUUUGUCAGUUAGUUCAAUUAUAGCAUGUUCAGUUGACCGAUUUUUCCUGAAACCAUAUUGAUGUUUAGAUAAAAUAUUAUGUUUUUCAAUAUAUGAAAUUAGUCUUUUAUGCAUUAUUUUUUCAAGUAGUUUUGAAAAACAUGUGAGAACUGAAAUUGGUCUGUAAUUUUCAAACAGGUAUCUUUCAUUUGCUUUAAAAAUAGGAGUAACGAUAGCUAUUUUUAGUGAUUCCGGGAUUACUCCAGUAUCAAACGUUAAAUUGAAAAUAUGUGCAAGAGGUUUGCAGAUUUCUUGUUUUAUAGUUUUUAUCAUUUUGGCACUUAUAUUAACAUGUCCUGCACUUUUAUUUGUAUUUAAGUUAUCAAUCUGAGUCAGUAUUUCAAGUUCAGUAACAGGCUCAGCAAACAUACUCUCUCUAUAGUUUCCUUUGAGAUAUUUUUCAAAUGAUACUGUAUCAUUUUUUCGAAUACCUUUUGCCAAAUUUGGACCAACAUUUACAAAAUAUUCAUUAAAUUUGUUAGCAAUUACGGUUGGGUCAGAAAAAUUAAUGUCUGAGUUCUUUUGUUGAAACACGUGAGAAAGUUUUUCCUUCUUUUUAUUUCUAUUCAGUAGUUUAUUUAUUGUUUGCCAUGUCAUUUUACUAUUGUUUUUGUAUUUAAUAAAUUGAUUUUCAAAGUAAUCUUUUUUACUAAUUUUAAUUAAAUGUUUUAAUUUAUUUUUGUAAUUUUUGUAAAUAGUUCAGUGUUCUUUUCACUUGGGUUUUUUAGACACUUUUUAUAGAGUCUGUUUUUAAUUCCAAUAGACUUAGAAAUACCUUGAGUCAUCCAAGGGCUUUUAUCGUAAUUAAUUAUAUCUCGUUUUUGCCGUUUUACUAAAGGAAAGCUUUUAUCAAACGCUUGUAUUAGUUUAUUAUGGAAAUUCUUGUAUGAUUCAGAGGGGUCAUUGUCUUCAACAAUAAUAUCCCAUGAUAUAUCUUUCACAGAAUUAGAAAAUAAUAGAAGACUGGCAUUAUUAACUAUUCUUUGAUGUUGCGAAGUUUCAACUUUAGAACUGUACAUUUUCGUUGGGAAAGAUGCAAUAUGAAAAACUGGAAGAUGAUCUGAUAUAUCACUAAAAACUAAUCCAUUCUUACUGGAUUCAAUUUGUUACGUCAUUAGUGAAUAUAUUGUCAAUUAAUGUUGCGGUAUGUUCAGUUAUCCUAGUUGGUCUUGUAAUAAGAGGCAAAAAUGAUGACGUAAAAAGUUGCUCACUGAAUCUAUUCGAAAAGUCACAACUUUCAGUUUUUAAGAGGUCAAUGUUAAAAUCGCCCAUUAAGUAAGUUAUUUUUUUUG